GGGCAGCAUGGUCUUAGCUUGCUAAGCGCCGAUGGCGACCGGCGCACGGGUGAGUAACACGUAUCCAACCUGCCGUCUACUCUUGGACAGCCUUCUGAAAGGAAGAUUAAUACAAGAUGGCAUCAUGAGUCCGCAUGUUCACAUGAUUAAAGGUAUUCCGGUAGACGAUGGGGAUGCGUUCCAUUAGAUAGUAGGCGGGGUAACGGCCCACCUAGUCUUCGAUGGAUAGGGGUUCUGAGAGGAAGGUCCCCCACAUUGGAACUGAGACACGGUCCAAACUCCUACGGGAGGCAGCAGUGAGGAAUAUUGGUCAAUGGGCGAGAGCCUGAACCAGCCAAGUAGCGUGAAGGAUGACUGCCCUAUGGGUUGUAAACUUCUUUUAUAAAGGAAUAAAGUCGGGUAUGCAUACCCGUUUGCAUGUACUUUAUGAAUAAGGAUCGGCUAACUCCGUGCCAGCAGCCGCGGUAAUACGGAGGAUCCGAGCGUUAUCCGGAUUUAUUGGGUUUAAAGGGAGCGUAGAUGGAUGUUUAAGUCAGUUGUGAAAGUUUGCGGCUCAACCGUAAAAUUGCAGUUGAUACUGGAUAUCUUGAGUGCAGUUGAGGCAGGCGGAAUUCGUGGUGUAGCGGUGAAAUGCUUAGAUAUCACGAAGAACUCCGAUUGCGAAGGCAGCCUGCUAAGCUG
rnacentral:rRNA from 1 species